GCAAAUGGUUUCUAUGGGACACCAAGCAUGUGGUGCUUUGGAGCUUUUUAACUAUCCAAUGUGGAUGAGGGAACUCAUUACCCAAAACCCAGAUGGGACUGAUAGACCUGACCUCGUUGAUUUCCCAGCACUUGAAGUUUAUACGGACAGGGAGAGGAAAGUUGCAAGAUACAACGAGUUCCGCAGGGGAUUGAUUUAAUUCCUAUUUCCAAAUGGGAAGAUCUGACGGAUGACGUUGAUGCUAUUCAAACAUUGCGUGAAGUGUACGGUGAUGAUGUUGAGUAGCUUGAUCUAUUGGUGGGUCUCAUGGCGGAGAAGAAGAUCAAGGGAUUCGCCAUCAGCGAAACGGCAUUCGUCAUUUUCAUCGUCAUGGCUUCCAGAUCUGUUCUUCACGA